AGAAGUGAAAAUACUAUUUGAAGACACAAGAAGAUGCACAGUUGAAAUUUGUCAAGGAAGCUUAUCUGCAACAUCCAGUUACACAGAGUCAAUAGAAUGGUAUCACAGCCUACACCACCAACCCGUGAUGCCCAGAGCAACAUCCUGGAAUCCAGUAUGGGUUCCGCUGUUCGACCACAACAGGGCAGACUGUCUUGAGUCAUGAGGAAAUUGUCCACUCACUGGAUGCAGUUCUUGGCCAUUGUCAGUUGCACCAACACACUGUCAUCACAAUCGCAGCCAGGUUCCACCGAAGCCAUCACACACUGACCUUGGCGAUCCAGAACCGCACCUAGCUACUGUCAGUGUAGAUGAAAUACAGCAUCUUGCUACUGAACUGCAGUAUUGCCUUAAGGACCAGAAACAUUAUGAGGAGCUCAACUGGCUUGGAUUUC